rnacentral:SRP_RNA from 1 species
GAGAGGUUGGCGCGGGCAGGCGCCUCGCCAACCCGGUCAGGUCCGGAAGGAAGCAGCCGUAACGAUCCCCGUCUGGGUCGCUGUCCAGCCUCUCACC